AAGCCUACGGGAGGCAGCAGUGAGGAAUAUUGGUCAAUGGUCGGGAGACUGAACCAGCCAAGCCGCGUGAGGGAUGAAGGUACAGAGUAUCGUAAACCUCUUUUGCCGGGGAGCAAAAAGCGGUACGUGUACCGCAUCGAGAGUACCCGGAGAAAAAGCAUCGGCUAACUCCGUGCCAGCAGCCGCGGUAAUACGGAGGAUGCGAGCGUUAUCCGGAUUUAUUGGGUUUAAAGGGUGCGCAGGCGGCGAGUUAAGUCAGCGGUAAAAGCCCGGGGCUCAACCCCGGCGAGCCGUUGCAACUGGCU
rnacentral:rRNA from 1 species